GAGCUCGUAGGCGGUUUGUCGCGUCUGCUGUGAAAUCCGGAGGCUCAACCUCCGGCCUGCAGUGGGUACGGGCAGACUAGAGUGCGGUAGGGGAGAUUGGAAUUCCUGGUGUAGCGGUGGAAUGCGCAGAUAUCAGGAGGAACACCGAUGGCGAAGGCAGAUCUCUGGGCCGUAACUGACGCUGAGGAGCGAAAGGGUGGGGAGCAAACAGGCUUAGAUACCCUGGUAGUCCACCCCGUAAACGUUGGGAACUAGUUGUGGGGUCCAUUCCACGGAUUCCGUGACGCAGCUAACGCAUUAAGUUCCCCGCCUGGGGAGUACGGCCGCAAGGCUAAAACUCAAAGGAAUUGACGGGGACCCGCACAAGCGGCGGAGCAUGCGGAUUAAUUCGAUGCAACGCGAAGAACCUUACCAAGGCUUGACAUAUACGAGAACGGGCCAGAAAUGGUCAACUCUUUGGACACUCGUAAACAGGUGGUGCAUGGUUGUCGUCAGCUCGUGUCGUGAGAUGUUGGGUUAAGUCCCGCAACGAGCGCAACCCUCGUUCUAUGUUGCCAGCACGUAAUGGUGGGAACUCAUGGGAUACUGCCGGGGUCAACUCGGAGGAAGGUGGGGAUGACGUCAAAUCAUCAUGCCCCUUAUGUCUUGGGCUUCACGCAUGCUACAAUGGCCGGUACAAAGGGCUGCAAUACCGCGAGGUGGAGCGAAUCCCAAAAAGCCGGUCCCAGUUCGGAUUGAGGUCUGCAACUCGACCUCAUGAAGUCGGAGUCGCUAGUAAUCGCAGAUCAGCAACGCUGCGGUGAAUACGUUCCCGGGUCUUGUACACACCGCCCGUCAAGUCAUGAAAGUCGGUAACACCUGAAGCCGGUGGCCUAACCCUUGUGGAGGGAGCCGUCGAAGGUGGGAUCGG
rnacentral:rRNA from 1 species